rnacentral:misc_RNA from 1 species
GUGUGUGUGUGUGUGUGUGUGUACAUUUAGUGGGCAAUACCCAAUAAUGGGCAAUACAGUUGGAUUUUGGAGGUGUGUGUCAACAUUCAGCGGGCAAUAUGCAAUAAUGGGCGAUACAGUUGGAUUUUGUAGCAAUUGUGGGGAAAGCGUUGAGAGCGUUCCUUCUAUUCAAACAGAACGCGAGUAUCAAAAAGCCCAUCAGGUUGUUCUGACAGCUUCAAUCAAGAAAAACUUUAAUCUUAUCAGCAUCUUUCACAGCGUGUUUCAAUUCCUUUGGGUGUUGAAUUAGAAUAUCCAAUUUAUUAAAUUUUCACCCUCCUUUUGAUUUUAAUGGUGAAUUUUGAUAUUGUAAAUUGAUUCAGAUUCUGAUUGUAAAUUGAUUCAAUAUGUCUUGAAAUUAUGUGAUUUUUGAGAUUAUAUGAUUGUAGAUUUGGAAUUAAUUCUAUCGAAAGAUUUUGGAUUUAGCUUGUUUUGAAUUAUUUUGAGUUGAAUUUGAAUUUGGGUUGUUUUUAUUUGUGAUGUAUUCUUGCUAGGAGAUCAAAUUGAGAAACAGAGAGUAUGAGAGAGACAAAGGGGGUAUUUGAGUCAUUUACUAUGUUAUAACAGAUAAGAGUUGCGGAGAUGAGA